UAGGUUUUUAAUCUAACUAAGAUAAUUGAUUUCGACUCAAUAAAUCAUGGUUCCAACCCAUGAAUACCUU
rnacentral:tRNA from 1 species